rnacentral:rRNA from 1 species
UGGUGGAGUGAUUUGUCUGGUUAAUUCCGUUAACGAACGAGACCACAGCCUGCUAAAUAGUCACGCCUAGCCUUUGCUCACGCGAUGGUUAGGUGGCAGUACUUCUUAGAGGGACUUUUGGCGCCUAGCCAAAGGAAGUUUGUGGCAAUAACA